AUUGAACGCUGGCGGCAGGCCUAACACAUGCAAGUCGAACGAGUGGCGGACGGGUGAGUAAUGUCUGGGAAACUGCCUGAUGGAGGGGGAUAACUACUGGAAACGGUAGCUAAUACCGCAUACCAUCAGAUGUGCCCAGAUGGGAUUAGCUAGUUGGUGGGGUAAGGGCUCACCAAGGCGACGAUCCCUAGCUGGUCUGAGAGGAUGACCAGCCACACGGGAACUGAGACACGGUCCAGACUCCGACGUGAGGCAGCAGUGGGGAAUAUUGAACAAGGGGGGCAAGCCUGAUGCAGCCAUGCCGCGUGUGGGAAGAAGGCCUUCGGGUUGUAAAGUACUGUCAGCGAGGAGGCGUUACCCGCAGAAGAAGCACCGGCUAACUCCGUGCCAGCAGCCGCGGUAAUUC
rnacentral:rRNA from 1 species